GGAUAAUGCAAGUGUUUAACAGAUGCUUCACUAUUAAAAUAUUUUCCCCCCAAGUCUCAAAUAUUGAAGAAUCUCUAACCAGGCUCGAAACGCCGGUCUCAGUGGCUAUUGAGUUACCCACCAAGUUACCCCGGUUAGAGCUGUUUGGGGUGGCUCACGUUAUUGCGGCAAACUUUGGAGAUGACGGCUGAGUCCUCCGGGCGAACAUGUCAAGCCGAUUGUAAAUGCUGUUAUUUCCACAUCCUUCAGGGACACCAGUCCCUACGAAGACCUUGGGCGAUUUUGAAGUGCGGGCACCUCGAUUCCCCGAAUCUGUAGUGUGGCUGGUAUCGGUGUUCCCCUGGUUUAACUAGCCUGUUUGAAGGCACAGAUCAUUCAUGGGGAUGUAUAACCGAAACCAGUCCUCUCCACCGCCUGGGGAUCUUCACUUUCGCAGUCUACGACUGCCUGUGACUCCAGAAAGACAAACUGCAGAUUGGCCAAGUGCCUUUCAAACUGUUUUUUACUGGAUGAAGAAACUCAACCAAGAAAAUAUAUGUCGAUUCUUGUAUAUGGGACAAUAUUAGCUGCUGUGAUUUUUAAUACUAGCAUAAAAUAUAAGAAUCUUUUUAUUACUGUGAUAUUGUUUUUUCCUAAAUGAAUGCAUAGUGUAACAAUUGGUGUCAAAAAGCAUUGAAUUUUUUUCAGAUGGAUUAAGCUGGAAUAAUAAAGUAUAUCUAUGAGAUGAUUUCUGUAAACUCUGACUUGCUGAGAAAAAAGUGAAAAAGCUUUUUCUGGAAGAAACAUGGCAACUUAACCGUUAUUAAUCUGGACUAAAUAAAACAGGAAACUGCUUCUUUA
rnacentral:lncRNA from 1 species